rnacentral:rRNA from 1 species
CCUACGGGAGGCAGCAGUGGGGAAUUUUGGACAAUGGGGGAAACCCUGAUCCAGCCAUCCCGCGUGUGCGAUGAAGGCCUUCGGGUUGUAAAGCACUCUUGGCAGGAAAGAAAGCGUCGCGGGUUAAUA